rnacentral:rRNA from 1 species
UACGAAGGGGGCUAGCGUUGCUCGGAAUUACUGGGCGUAAAGCGCACGUAGGCGGUCUUUUAAGUCGGGGGUGAAAUCCUGGAGCUCAACUCCAGAACUGCCUCGAUACUGGAAGACUCGAGUCCGGGAGAGGUGAGUGGAACUGCGAGUGUAGAGGUGAAAUUCGUAGAUAUUCGCAAGAACACCAGUGGCGAAGGCGGCUCACUGGCCCGGUACUGACGCUGAGGUGCGAAAGCGUGGGAGCAACAGG